CAGAGUAGGUUUGCACGCGCUGGCUGAUAAUCACCGAUCAGCCUGGAGUGCCGCCCGAACGGGGAGUUGUCGGGCGGACGAAAAGAGGGCUCUUGCGAUGUGCACGCCGCAUCCCGCUG
rnacentral:ncRNA from 1 species